UUUGAUCUUUACCACUUCAACGGUAUUGCAAAAUCAGUUGCUAAUGGUAGCCAGGCUACAUCUGGACAUGAAAAUCCAAUCCAAAGACCUCGGCUGACAAAGUUGAGGGUUUCAGUUCCCCCCAAGUGGACAUCUGAGGAAUUCAUGGCAAAUGUAUCGGUUCCAUCUGGCUCGAGUAAAAAUGAAUCUGAUGAAAAAGAGAAAUCAGUCGAAGUAUCUAAACCAGACCCUGCUCAACGUGCACCUUUGGUUGAUUGCAUUAGAACGCGAUGGCCACGUGCAACUUGCAGUUGGGAAGGUGAUGCACCUAGUAUUGUUUGAUUGUCUAGUUAAGUUUCCCAAUCUGUGACUGCGCUCUCUAUUGAGGUUAGAGCUUUCCGGGGAGUGAAAGAAGAGGUCUUCUCUGCAUUUUCCCAUCUGAAAUGUGGGCUGCAGAGUUAAUAACUGCUAUACAUGACGUUUACAGUGUAAUUCAGUGUGUAGUUCAACAGAAUUCUGAAACGAGUGUAUUAUGGUGUUGAAAAUGUUAUCGUUAUUCAAACCUGUAGAAUACAUGUAGUUGUUUGCUAGGCAUGAGGAUUUCAAUCACACAUCAUAGGUUUUGACUUGUUGCUGUAACUAAGGUCGCCUUUGUACUCGUUAUUUGUUGUUGAUCAGCCAAGUUUUCUCUAAGAAGUUUUUGAUGAACAUCACAUUGUCUCUAUUCUAAUAACCCUUUAUUUCACUCAAACCGUAAUCCAGUAUGUUGAAUACCCAGAAAAUUAAACCACAGAUGAUAAUUGUAUAGCGCUAUGCUCUUGGAGGGAUCCAUCCA
rnacentral:lncRNA from 1 species